UUUUUAACACUCAAAUUGAUACUUUAUUGCACAACUUGCUGUUAACAAUAACACUUGAUGUACAGCAUUCCAUCAAGUAUCCCUGUUAAUAGUGCCACCGAAUAUCCAGGGAGAAUAUUCAGUAGAAUUAACAAAAAAAAAAUUCUAUCAAUAUCUAAAUAAAUAAAUUGCUAUUACAAAUAGCUGUUUUAAAUAGUCUACUACAAAAUAUGUUUAUUUUUUUCUAUAUAAAAUACUAUAUAUUCAUGUAACAUUACACACGUUAUCACAAAAGUUCGUCAAUAUAUUACGGAAUUUAUCACUAUUUAUUUCGGAAUGAGUUUUUGUAUACUAUCUUAAAUGUUCCAGAAACUAAAUGCGGUCACUGGUCGAUGACCUCGCACGUUUUUUUGUGCUUCAAGUUGGGAUUUACACAAUUCUGCAAUGUUUUGUAAUUUGGAAUAAAAAUACGAAAAGGUUGCUGCAGGCCAUUAGCAUUGACCGUACAUAUAUGCAGAUAUUUAUUCAUGGUGGAUUAUAGUUAAAUUUAUUUAUCUUCCUGAACUCCAAGCAUGGAUAACAACUACCUGAAUUGAUUGUGGAUAACCUUCAACAGCUAUACCACUCAAACAGUUUAAAUGAUAUUCUGGAUAAUAUAUACAGUUAAAAAUAAGUAAAAACAGUGCUAUACAGACAGUAUUGUGAGGAAUGUGAUUUUUAUAAUGCAUUUUGGUUUUUCGAUUUUUUUAAAUUUUUUUUAUUAUUGUUAUAAUAAAUAAAUUUUAGUCUUUA